CGUUACCGUAAAAGUAGAGUGUUCACAGCAGGCAGACUUUAAUCUCGGCCACCGAAUACAUUAGCAUGGGAUAAUGGAAUAGGACCCUGUCCUCCUAUUUUCAGUUGGUUUUCGAGGACCAGGGUAAUGAUUAAUAGGGAUAGUUGGGGGCAUUAAUAUUUAAUUGUCAGAGGUGAAAUUCUUGGAUUUAUGAAAGAUUAACUUCUGCGAAAGCAUCUGCCAAGGGAUGUUUUCAUUAAUCAAGAACGAAAGUUAGGGGAUCGAAGACGAUCAGAUACCGUCGUAGUCUUAACCAUAAACGAUGCCGACCAGCGAUUAGGAGACGUUGAAUACAAAACACCACCAUCAGGCGGGUCGUUCCUGGCCAGCUUCGCGCAAGCGGGGUUGGUGGGGGCGAUUCGUUUCCCUGAUGGCCCGGUGAA
rnacentral:rRNA from 1 species